AGAUUAAGUUAUUAAGGGCGCACGGUGGAUGCCUUGGCACUAGAAGCCGAAGAAGGACGUUACUAACGACGAUAUGCUUUGGGUAGCUGUAAGUAAGCGUUGAUCCAGAGAUUUCCGAAUGGGGGAACCCAACAUGAGUUAUGUCAUGUUAUCGACAUGUGAAUUCAUAGCAUGUCAGAAGGCAGACCCGGAGAACUGAAACAUCUUAGUACCCGGAGGAAGAGAAAGAAAAAUCGAUUCCCUGAGUAGCGGCGAGCGAAACGGGAAGAGCCCAAACCAACAAGCUUGCUUGUUGGGGUUGUAGGACACUCUAUACGGAGUUACAAAAGAACAUGUUAGACGAAUCAUCUGGAAAGAUGAAUCAAAGAAGGUAAUAAUCCUGUAGUCGAAAACAUAUUCUCUCUUGAGUGGAUCCUGAGUACGACGGAGCACGUGAAAUUCCGUCGGAAUCUAGGAGGACCAUCUCCUAAGGCUAAAUACUCUCUAGUGACCGAUAGUGAACCAGUACCGUGAGGGAAAGGUGAAAAGUACCCCGGAAGGGGAGUGAAAGAGAACUUGAAACCGUGUGCUUACAAGUAGUCAGAGCCCGUUUAUGGGUGAUGGCGUGCCUUUUGUAGAAUGAACCGGCGAGUUACGAUCUGAUGCAAGGUUAAGCAGCGAAUGUGGAGCCGUAGCGAAAGCGAGUCUGAAUAGGGCGUUGAGUAUUUGGUCGUAGACCCGAAACCAGGUGAUCUACCCUUGGUCAGGUUGAAGUUCAGGUAACACUGAAUGGAGGACCGAACCGACUUACGUUGAAAAGUGAGCGGAUGAACUGAGGGUAGCGGAGAAAUUCCAAUCGAACUUGGAGAUAGCUGGUUCUCUCCGAAAUAGCUUUAGGGCUAGCCUCAAGUGAUGAUUAUUGGAGGUAGAGCACUGUUUGGACGAGGGGCCCCUCUCGGGUUACCGAAUUCAGACAAACUCCGAAUGCCAAUCAAUUUAACUUGGGAGUCAGAACAUGGGUGAUAAGGUCCGUGUUCGAAAGGGAAACAGCCCAGACCACCAGCUAAGGUCCCAAAAUAUAUGUUAAGUGGAAAAGGAUGUGGCGUUGCCCAGACAACUAGGAUGUUGGCUUAGAAGCAGCCAUCAUUUAAAGAGUGCGUAAUAGCUCACUAGUCGAGUGACACUGCGCCGAAAAUGUACCGGGGCUAAACAUAUUACCGAAGCUGUGGAUUGUCCUUCGGACAAUGGUAGGAGAGCGUUCUAAGGGCGUUGAAGCAUGAUCGCAAGGACAUGUGGAGCGCUUAGAAGUGAGAAUGCCGGUGUGAGUAGCGAAAGACGGGUGAGAAUCCCGUCCACCGAUUGACUAAGGUUUCCAGAGGAAGGCUCGUCCGCUCUGGGUUAGUCGGGUCCUAAGCUGAGGCCGACAGGCGUAGGCGAUGGAUAACAGGUUGAUAUUCCUGUACCACCUAGUAUCGUUUUAAUUGAUGGGGGGACGCAGUAGGAUAGGCGAAGCGUGCUGUUGGAGUGCACGUCCAAGCAGUAAGGCUGAGUGUUAGGCAAAUCCGGCACUCGUUAGGCUGAGCUGUGAUGGGGAGAGGAAAUUGUUUCCUCGAGUCGUUGAUUUCACACUGCCGAGAAAAGCCUCUAGAUAGAUAACAGGUGCCCGUACCGCAAACCGACACAGGUAGUCAAGAUGAGAAUUCUAAGGUGAGCGAGCGAACUCUCGUUAAGGAACUCGGCAAAAUGACCCCGUAACUUCGGGAGAAGGGGUGCUCUUUAGGGUUCACGCCCAGAAGAGCCGCAGUGAAUAGGCCCAAGCGACUGUUUAUCAAAAACACAGGUCUCUGCUAAACCGUAAGGUGAUGUAUAGGGGCUGACGCCUGCCCGGUGCUGGAAGGUUAAGAGGAGUGGUUAGCUUCUGCGAAGCCACGAAUCGAAGCCCCAGUAAACGGCGGCCGUAACUAUAACGGUCCUAAGGUAGCGAAAUUCCUUGUCGGGUAAGUUCCGACCCGCACGAAAGGCGUAACGAUUUGGGCACUGUCUCAACGAGAGACUCGGUGAAAUCAUAGUACCUGUGAAGAUGCAGGUUACCCGCGACAGGACGGAAAGACCCCGUGGAGCUUUACUGUAGCCUGAUAUUGAAAUUCGGCACAGCUUGUACAGGAUAGGUAGGAGCCAUUGAAACGUGAGCGCUAGCUUACGUGGAGGCGUUGGUGGGAUACUACCCUAGCUGUGUUGGCUUUCUAACCCGCACCACUUAUCGUGGUGGGAGACAGUGUCAGGCGGGCAGUUUGACUGGGGCGGUCGCCUCCUAAAAGGUAACGGAGGCGCUCAAAGGUUCCCUCAGAAUGGUUGGAAAUCAUUCACAGAGUGUAAAGGCAUAAGGGAGCUUGACUGCGAGACCUACAAGUCGAGCAGGGUCGAAAGACGGACUUAGUGAUCCGGUGGUUCCGCAUGGAAGGGCCAUCGCUCAACGGAUAAAAGCUACCCCGGGGAUAACAGGCUUAUCUCCCCCAAGAGUUCACAUCGACGGGGAGGUUUGGCACCUCGAUGUCGGCUCAUCGCAUCCUGGGGCUGUAGUCGGUCCCAAGGGUUGGGCUGUUCGCCCAUUAAAGCGGUACGCGAGCUGGGUUCAGAACGUCGUGAGACAGUUCGGUCCCUAUCCGUCGUGGGCGUAGGAAAUUUGAGAGGAGCUGUCCUUAGUACGAGAGGACCGGGAUGGACAUACCUCUGGUGUACCAGUUGUCGUGCCAACGGCAUAGCUGGGUAGCUAUGUAUGGACGGGAUAAGUGCUGAAAGCAUCUAAGCAUGAAGCCCCCCUCAAGAUGAGAUUUCCCAACUUCGGUUAUAAGAUCCCUCGAAGAUGACGAGGUUAAUAGGUUCGAGGUGGAAGCGUGGUGACACGUGGAGCUGACGAAUACUAAUCGAUCGAAGACUUAAUCAAU
rnacentral:rRNA from 1 species